rnacentral:rRNA from 1 species
AGUGAACGCUGGCGGCAGGCCUAACACAUGCAAGUCGAGCGGCAGCGCGGGGGCAACCCUGGCGGCGAGCGGCGGUCGGGUGAGGAAUACAUCGGAAUCUACCCAGUCGUGGGGGAUAACGUAGGGAAACUUACGCUAAUACCGCAUACGACCUGAGGGUGAAAGCAGGGGACCGCAAGGCCUUGCGCGAUUGGAUGAGCCGAUGUCCGAUUAGCUAGUUGGUGAGGUAAAGGCUCACCAAGGCGACGAUCGGUAGCUGGUCUGAAAGGAUGAUCAGCCACACUGGAACUGAGACACGGUCCAGACUCCUACGGGAGGCAGCAGUGGGGAAUAUUGGACAAUGGGCGCAAGCCUGAUCCAGCCAUGCCGCGUGUGUGAAGAAGGCCUUCGGGUUGUAAAGCACUUUUGUUGGGGAAGAAAAUCUUCCGACCUAAUACGUCGGGAGGCUGACGGUACCCAAAGAAUAAGCACCGGCUAACUUCGUGCCAGCAGCCGCGGUAAUACGAAGGGUGCAAGCGUUACUCGGAAUUACUGGGCGUAAAGCGUGCGUAGGUGGUUCGUUAAGUCUGCCGUGAAAGCCCCGGGGCUCAACCUGGGAAUGGCGGUGGAUACUGGCGGACUAGAGUGCGGUAGAGGGUGGUGGAAUUCCCCGGUGUAGCAGUGAAAUGCGUAGAGAUCGGGAGGAACAUCUGUGGCGAAGGCGGCCACCUGGACCAGCACUGACACUGAGGCACGAAAAGCGUGGGGGAGCAAAACAGGAUUAGAUA